UCCAGACUCCUACGGGAGGCAGCAGUGGGGAAUAUUGCACAAUGGGGGGAACCCUGAUGCAGCGACGCCGCGUGGGUGAAGGAGUACUUCGGUACGUAAAGCCCUAUCAGCAGGGAAGAAAAUGACGGUACCUGACUAAGAAGCCCCGGCUAACUACGUGCCAGCAGCCGCGGUAAUACGUAGGGGGCAAGCGUUAUCCGGAGUUACUGGGUGUAAAGGGAGCGUAGACGGCAUGGCAAGUCUGAUGUGAAAACCCGGGGCUCAACCCCGGGACUGCAUUGGAAACUGUCAAACUAGAGUACGGGAGAGGUAAGAGGAAUUCCUAGUGUAGCGGUGAAAUGCGUAGAUAUUAGGAGGAACACCAGUGGCGAAGGCGUCUUACUGGACCGAAACUGACGUUGAGGCUCGAAAGCGUGGGGAGCAAACAGGAUUAGAUACCCGUGUAAA
rnacentral:rRNA from 1 species